AUUGAACGCUGGCGGCAGGCUUAACACAUGCAAGUCGAGCGGAUGAAGGGAGCUUGCUCCUGGUUUCCGAGGCGGACGGGUGAGUGAUGCCCAGGAAUCUCCCUGCUUGUGGGGGAUAACGACCUCAAACGGGCGCUACUACUGCAUGCGUCCUGCGGCAGCAGGAGGGUGAGGUUCGGACCGUUUCGUCUCAUGUGAGCCUAGGUCGGGUUAGUUAGUUGGUGGGGUAAAGGCCUGCCUAGCCGAGGAUCGGUAACUGGUCUGACAGGAUGAUCAGCCACACUAGAACGGAGACACGGUCCAUACGCCUACGGGAGGCAGCAGUGUGGAAUAUUGGACAAUGGGCGAAAGCCUGAUCCAGCCAUGCCGCGUGUGUGAAAGAGGUCUUCGGAGCGUGAAGCACGUUAAGUGGGGAUGAAGGGCAUUAAGCUAAUACCAUGCUGUUGUGACGUUACCAACAGAAUAAGCACCGGCUAACUACGUG
rnacentral:rRNA from 1 species